ensembl:miRNA
GGAUUCUUACAGGACACUAUGUUCUUCCAGGACAGAACAUUCUUUGCUAUUUUGUACUGGAAGAACAUGCAAAACUUU